ensembl:lincRNA
GCGCAGGCCUGGGGCGCGCAGGCCUGGGGCGCGCAGGCCUGCGGCGCGCAGGCCUGCGGCGCGCCAUGCUCCCGGUCUCCGUCCGUGGGAACCCCAGGAACACCCGCCGCCCUCCCGGGACUGGAGCCUUACGCCUGCCGUGAGCCCAGGGGAGGCUCCUGCCCGCGUCGCCGCGCGGGGUCGGGUUUGGCUUCUUCCCUCCCCAGCCCUAGGCUUUUCCCACGCGGUGCUACCGGAGCAGCGACCCCGCACCCGGCGCCUCUGGUCUUCCGCCUGAGGUCCGAGCGGUAACCACAGGGCGGUUCUCUGGCCGUGCGCCCGCGACUAGUAAAACCCAAGACGGGGGGAGACUAGUUGACUAGUGAAGAAUCUCACCGAACACCCAUCCAACACUGGACAUUGAAUCUAGGCUGGUCACAAUUGUGAGAAGAAGCCAAAGUGCAAACCAAGAACAAUGAACUGUUGUGAGCUGUCCUCUGGGGAGAAGAAAAUCUGUGGAAAAAAUCUGGAAUGCCUGCCAGCAGUGACAGGAGCUCAUGAACAUCACCUACAAGUGUCCAUCAUGCUCCCUCCAAAGACUGUGACAAUUACACCUCUGGAUAAGACAUACUGGCUGAGCUCAGACUCCAAUAACUCGAUAGCAAGUGGAUUACAUUGGUCCACUCCCUCUCUCAGAAGAGGCAAGGUAUGCUUUCAGUGCUGCAGACACUGCAAGGGGACUCUUGUAACCUUGUAACUGAAUUCUUACAACAAUGGACUAAGUCUAAAUUACAAGUUAAAGUGCCAGCUGCUCCAAGCUCAAAAGGGGACAUAAUAAUAAAUUAUUGUUGCCUAUGCUUCAAACUAUAUAAACUGGAAAAAUAUGGUCAUUCAGAUCACUGUACUGGUCUGUGAAGCUCUGCUUGUUGGGAAUCUUAAACCCAUGAAAAAAUCACUCAAAAACAGUUAUGAAACCUAUUUUAGCUAAACUUUAUGUGUGUAAACCCAUCAAAUCAUUUAAUUUCACUGUCAACCAUUAAUGCCAUUAAACUUUAAUGCUGAAUGUAUAAUCUUAUUAUUCCAUCUCCUCAGACUCCUGAAGGCAAUAACCUCACAGCCCACCCUUAAUUUCCUGAUUAAUCCCUAUCCUUACCACAGUUAUAGCUCUCAUUCUCCUCCUAUCAGCAGGUCCCCACAUCUUCCAUGUAAUAACUCAGUUUAUCCACACAGCCAUCCAAGAUGUCACCCAUGAUCAUGUACAUGAUCUUCUGCUGCAAAAAUAUAGUGCCAGCUGCCAAACCAGAAGCCAAAAUAUCUCAACAUCAAAAGAGGACCAAACAACAGAAUCCCACAAUGCCUUCCUGCUCUCCUUCUCCACUCAACCAUAUCAAAAAGAGAUGAAAAUUUUAAGUCUCCCCUGCCCCAAUAACAGAUAACCCCAAAACCUCCGUCCCUGUCCCUAAUCCAGCAGGGUGUACUAGGCACUUGUGCAAUCAUAAAUGAAACUUGUUUUUACAUUUACAGAACUGGUCAGGUAGAAGAAAAUCUUAAAGUCUUGAAAGAAAACAGUAAUUGUUCAGAGAGCCCAAAAUAAUAACUAUUGAAAUCAAUCAUGGCUAUCCUCAUUCCUUUCUUAUUUUUCUUCACCCUUAACAUCAAUUCUUUCACCCAUUAUAACACCAUUACUUAUAGUAUUGCUGCUGCUUUUUGGUCCUUGUCUCUUAUAGCUUCUUAUCUGAUUCAUACACCGAAUCAUACAGUCAACAACCCAGGAAUACAUAAAUGGCAUCUUUCUGCGGCAUGAACAACAAUAUCAACCCCUGCAAGAUCUGAAACCACAGCCCACUGUACAGGAUGGAAGGGAACUUCUUUUCUCCACCCCUUGAUAGCAAGAAGUAGCCAGAUCAAGCCAAUGCCUCAAAUUCCCUCACCCUCCUAUCCUGCCCAGUACCAUAUUCCCCAAUACCCAGGUCCCCCAAUAUAUUCACAAAUAAAGAGUUCAGAAUGUUAGAGGUUUGCAAUAAUUAACAGCUAUAGCUCAGUUCCCCCUGAUAUGCAUUGAGGGCAUUUCCCCAAAGAUUGAACAAAGAAACCAUGCAGAGAUGGAAAUAAAGGGAGAUAAAAUCCUUUACUAACUACAUGUCAAUGGGAGAUAAAAAUAUUUCCUUCCUGCAUAUCAAAGGAACACCCACUCCUUCAGCAUUCCAAGAAAUCUAACUCCAUAACUCACUACCCUCUAGCCAUACAGGGCAAAAUUUUCACCUCUAGGGCUUCCUAUUGUCCUCCCACUGACUAUCUUUUCCCCACCUUGGAAAGUUCUGUAUAAAUUCAAAGCUCCCUUCCAGGACUGGGCUGAAGUCUGUUCUUCAGACCCCCUCCAUUGGGAGGGCUUCUCAAUAAAUUCUCUGUCUGUGAUGAUAUCAGUCUGUGUCCCAGUGAGUACCAUUUUUUUCCCAACAAUUACAUCUUCCUCUCUAUUUUAAAAAAAAUUUAUGUAAGUUUUUGUAUAACUUUACAAAAUGUUCUAGGCAUUACUGUUGCAUCUAUUUCUAUUGAUAUGCUAAAAAUAUCCCAAAUUUGGUGAUUUGAGCCAAAACAAAUUAUCACACUGUUGUCAGGUUUCAGGGUCAAAAGCCAAGGUACAAUGUCCCUGAAUUUUCUGCUCAUAAUCACAGAAGGACAAAAUCAAGGGGUCUUCAGGAUUAUGUUUCUUGCUGGAAAUUCUCUGCAAAAAUCUGCUUCCAAUGUCAUUCAAGUUUUUGUCAGAACCCACCUCCUUUCAGAGAUGGUUUUGUCUGUUUCUUUGCAGGUUCUCAAUUAGGGUCUCACUUGGCUCUUUAAAGUCACCUGCAUUUCUUCUCAAGUGGCCACAUAUAUCUUCAAAGCCAGCAUCAUUGUGCUGAGUCUUUCUCAUAUAGCAUAUAUUUCUGAAUUCCCCUUUGGCCACCAGCUACAGAAAGCUCUCUACUUUUGAGGGCCCAUGCAGUAAGUAGAUUGCAGCCAGUGGAUAAUUCCAGAUGAUAUUCCUAUUUUAAGGUCAACUGUACCUUAUGUAGCAUAAACAUAGGGGUGAUCAUUCACAUUACCAUGUUCUGUACAUUAGAACAUAAAAUUUAUGGUGCAUCCCACAGUGUGGUGCAUUGAUAGAGGGCUAUUUGGGAAUUCUGCACAUGUGCAUGAUUGUUUUAUAACUUGUCAUAAAACUAUAUUUAAAAAAUAAUAGGGUGGGUUGGGGAAAAUACAACAAAUGUAAGAUAAGGACUAUAAUUAGUGGUAAGAUUUUGACAAUAUUCUUUCAUAAUUUGUAACAAGCAUCUCACAACAAUGCAAGGUGUGGGCAGAGGGUUGAUGUUUGAGACCCUGUAUGCUGUUACGCAUAUUUGCUUUGUAAGUUCACAAUUUUUUCUCUACACUUAUUGUUUAUGUAUGUUCAUAUACAAAUGAUAAAAAGAUAAUUAUAGGGUGGGUUGGGGAAAAUACUUUGGUUAAUAGUAGUAUUUUGACAAUACUCUUUAAUCAUUAGUCUAAAAUGUUUAACAACUGAGUUCUGUAUGAUGUUAUAUAUGUUUUAUAAUUUCACAACUAUUACUGUACACUUAUUGUUUAUGUAUAUGUAUAUGUAUGAGUGAUAUAUAUCAAUGAAUUUUUAAAAAUUUUUUUUAAAAAUUAUGGUGGAUCAUUUUAAGAUAUUUUUCUUACCACAACUAUAUACUUUAAUUUUCAUUCAUUUUAGAAUCAAUAUUUUACCAUUUAAAGUGGAAUGUAGAAAUUUUUCCAACA